rnacentral:rRNA from 1 species
GUCUACGGCCAUACCACCCUGAAUGCGCCCAAUUUCGUCUGAUCUGGGAAGCUAAGCAGGGUCGGGCCUGAUUAGUACUUGGAUGAGAGAAGUGUGCUUGCUAGAUC